rnacentral:tRNA from 3 species
GCACGGCUGGCGGAAUCGGCAGACGCGACGUUGAGGGCGUCGUGUCCGAAAGGACAUCCCGGUUCGAGGCCGGGGUCGUGCACCA